rnacentral:rRNA from 1 species
AGUCGAGGGGCAGCGGGUAGAUGAGCUUGCUCAUUUAUGCCGGCGACCGGCGCACGGGUGAGUAACACGUAUGCAACCUGCCCGUCUCAGGGGGAUAAUCGUCGGAAACGGCGUCUAAUACCCCGUAUGAAGCUGGACGGCAUCGUCUGGUUUUGAAAGAAUAUCGGAGACGGAUGGGCAUGCGGCGCAUUAGCUGGUUGGCGGGGUAACGGCCCACCAAGGCGACGAUGCGUAGGGGUUCUGAGAGGAAGGUCCCCCACACUGGUACUGAGACACGGACCAGACUCCUACGGGAGGCAGCAGUGAGGAAUAUUGGUCAAUGGGCGAGAGCCUGAACCAGCCAAGUCGCGUGAGGGAGUACUGCCCUAUGGGUUGUAAACCUCUUUUGUCGGGGAGCAAAAGCCGGACGUGUCCGGCUGUGAGAGUACCCGAAGAAAAAGCAUCGGCUAACUCCGUGCCAGCAGCCGCGGUAAUACGGAGGAUGCGAGCGUUAUCCGGAUUUAUUGGGUUUAAAGGGUGCGCAGGCGGAUUUUUAAGUCAGCGGUCAAAUCGUGGGGCUCAACCCCAUCCAGCCGUUGAAACUGGGGAUCUAGAGUGUGCGAGAGGUAUGCGGAAUGCGUGGUGUAGCGGUGAAAUGCAUAGAUAUCACGCAGAACCCCGAUUGCGAAGGCAGCAUACCGGUGCACAACUGACGCUCANGCACGAAAGCGUGGGUAUCNAACAGGAUUAGAUACCCUGGUAGUCCACGCAGUAAACGAUGAAUGCUACCUGUUUGGCCUGAUUGAAGGCUGAGCGGGACAGCGAAAGCGUUA